rnacentral:rRNA from 1 species
AACGGCCAUACCAUGCUAUAUACCGGUUCUCGUUAGAUCACCGAAGUCAAGCAUCAUUGGGCGCGGUCAGUACUUGGGUGGGUGACCACCUGGGAACACCGCGUGCCGUU